rnacentral:rRNA from 1 species
ACGGGUGAGUAACGCGUGGGCAACCUGCCUUUUUCCGGGGGAUAACACAGGGAAACCUGUGCUAAUACCGCAUAAAGUCAUCUGAGGACAUUCUCUAAUGACCAAAGGAUUUAUCCGGGGAAAGAGGGGCCCGCGUCUGAUUAGCUUGUUGGUGAGGUAACGGCCCACCAAGGCGACGAUCAGUAGCCGAACUGAGAGGUUGAUCGGCCACAUUGGGACUGAGACACGGCCCAGACUCCUACGGGAGGCAGCAGUGGGGAAUAUUGCGCAAUGGGGGAAACCCUGACGCAGCAACGCCGCGUGAAGGAUGAAGGUUUUCGGAUUGUAAACUUCUUUGACAGGGGACGAACAAAUGACGGUACCCUGAAAACAAGUCACGGCUAACUACGUGCCAGCAGCCGCGGUAAUACGUAGGUGACAAGCGUUAUCCGGAUUUACUGGGUGUAAAGGGCGUGUAGGCGGGUCUGCAAGUCAGAUGUGAAAUACUGGGGCUUAACCCCGGAACUGCAUCUGAAACUGUGGAUCUUGAGUACCGGAGAGGAAAGUGGAAUUCCCAGUGUAGCGGUGAAAUGCGUAGAGAUUGGGAGGAACACCAGUGGCGAAGGCGGCUUUCUGGACGGUAACUGACGCUGAGGCGCGAAAGCGUGGGGAGCAAACAGGAUUAGAUACCCUGGUAGUCCACGCUGUAAACGAUGAAUACUAGGUGUAGGGGGGUAUAAAAUCCCUCUGUGCCGCAGCAAACGCAAUAAGUAUUCCACCUGGGGAGUACGACCGCAAGGUUGAAACUCAAAGGAAUUGACGG